GACGAACGCUGGCGGCGUGCUUAACACAUGCAAGUCGAACGGAAAGGCCUCUUUCGGGGGGUACUCGAGUGGCGAACGGGUGAGUAACACGUGAGUAACCUGCCCUUGACUGUGGGAUAACUUCAGGAAACUGGGGCUAAUACCGGACAGGAGCUCCUGCUACAUGGUGGGGGUUGGAAUGUUUCGGCGGUUGGGGAUGGACUCGCGGCUUAUCACCUUGUUUGUGGGGUAGUGGCUUACCAAGGCUUUGACGGGUAGCCGGCCUGAGAGGGUGACCGGCGCCAUUGGGACUGCGGUACGGACCAGACGCGUACGGGAGGCAGUAGUGGGGAAUAUUGCACAAUGGGUGGAAGCCUGAUGCAGCAGUGCCGUGUGCGGGAUGACGGGCUGCGGGUUGUAAACCGCUUUCGCUCAUGACGAAGCUUUGUGUGACGGUAGUGGGUAAAGAAGCACCGGCUAACUACGUG
rnacentral:rRNA from 1 species